rnacentral:rRNA from 1 species
AGAGUUUGAUCAUGGCUCAGAUUGAACGCUGGCGGCAGGCUUCACACAUGCAAGUCGAACGGUAGCAGGGAGAAAGCUUGCUUUCUUUGCUGACGAGUGGCGGACGGGUGAGUAAUGCUUGGGAAUCUGGCUUAUGGAGGGGGAUAACUACGGGAAACUGUAGCUAAUACCGCGUAAUAUCUUCGGAUUAAAGGGUGGGACCGUAAGGCCACCUGCCAUAAGAUGAGCCCAAGUGGGAUUAGGUAGUUGGUGGGGUAAAGGCCUACCAAGCCGACGAUCUCUAGCUGGUCUGAGAGGAUGGCCAGCCACACUGGAACUGAGACACGGUCCAGACUCCUACGGGAGGCAGCAGUGGGGAAUAUUGCACAAUGGGGGGAACCCUGAUGCAGCCAUGCCGCGUGAACGAAGAAGGCCUUCGGGUUGUAAAGUUCUUUCGGUGAUGAGGAAGGUGUUUGUUUUAAUAGAACAAGCAAUUGACGUUAGUCACAGAAGAAGCACCGGCUAACUCCGUGCCAGCAGCCGCGGUAAUACGGAGGGUGCGAGCGUUAAUCGGAAUGACUGGGCGUAAAGGGCACGCAGGCGGUGACUUAAGUGAGAUGUGAAAGCCCCGGGCUUAACCUGGGAAUUGCAUUUCAUACUGGGUUGCUAGAGUAUUUUAGGGAGGGGUAGAAUUCCACGUGUAGCGGUGAAAUGCGUAGAGAUGUGGAGGAAUACCGAAGGCGAAGGCAGCCCCUUGGGAAUAUACUGACGCUCAUGUGCGAAAGCGUGGGGAGCAAACAGGAUUAGAUACCCUGGUAGUCCACGCUGUAAACGCUGUCGAUUUGGGGAUUGGGCUUUGAGCUUGGUGCCCGUAGCU